rnacentral:rRNA from 1 species
AUACGUAGGUGACAAGCGUUAUCCGGAUUUACUGGGCGUAAAGGGCGCGUAGGCGGCCCGGUAAGUCUGGAGUGAAAGUCCUGUUUUUAAGAUGGGAAUUGCUUUGGAUACUGUCGGGCUUGAGUGCAGGAGAGGUAAGUGGAAUUCCCAGUGUAGCGGUGAAAUGCGUAGAGAUUGGGAGGAACACCAGUGGCGAAGGCGACUUACUGGACUGUAACUGACGCUGAGGCGCGAAAGUGUGGGGAGCAAACAGGAUUAGAUACCCUGGUAGUCCACACUGUAAACGAUGAAUGCUAGGUGUAGGGGGUAUCGACCCCUUCUGUGCCGCAGUCAACACAAUAAGCAUUCCGCCUGGGGAGUACGGCCGCAAGGUUGAAACUCAAAUGAAUUGGCGGGG